rnacentral:rRNA from 1 species
UGAGGAAUAUUGGUCAAUGGGCGUAAGCCUGAACCAGCCAAGUCGCGUGAGGGAUGAAGGUUCUAUGGAUCGUAAACCUCUUUUAUAAGGGAAUAAAGUGUGGGACGUGUCCCGUUUUGUAUGUACCUUAUGAAUAAGGAUCGGCUAACUCCGUGCCAGCAGCCGCGGUAAUACGGAGGAUCCGAGCGUUAUCCGGAUUUAUUGGGUUUAAAGGGUGCGUAGGCGGCCUUUUAAGUCAGCGGUGAAAGUCUGUGGCUCAACCAUAGAAUUGCCGUUGAAACUGGGGGGCUUGAGUAUGUUUGAGGCAGGCGGAAUGCGUGGUGUAGCGGUGAAAUGCUUAGAUAUCACGAAGAACUCCGAUUGCGAAGGCAGCUCACUAGACUGCAACUGACACUGAUGCUCGAAAGUGUGGGUAUCAAACAGGAUUAGAUACCC